rnacentral:rRNA from 1 species
GGAGGAUCCAAGCGUUAUCCGGAUUUAUUGGGUUUAAAGGGUGCGUAGGCGGCCUGUUAAGUCAGGGGUGAAAGACGGUAGCUCAACUAUCGCAGUGCCCUUGAUACUGAUGGGCUUGAAUGGACUAGAGGUAGGCGGAAUGUGACAAGUAGCGGUGAAAUGCAUAGAUAUGUCUCAGAACACCGAUUGCGAAGGCAGCUUACUAUGGUCUUAUUGACGCUGAGGCACGAAAGCGUGGGGAUCAAACAGGAUUAGAUACCCUGGUAGUCCACGCCCUAAACGAUGAACACUCGCUGUUGGCGAUACACAGUCAGCGGCUAAGCGAAAGCGUUAAGUGUUCCACCUGGGGAGUACGCCCGCAAGGGUG